UUUGUUACCUGUAACCACGUUAUUGUGGUAUGCAAAAACGUCUAUUUAUAACUUCAAGGACAGAUAUUGACAAAUCCAAUAAAGCGAUCAUUUGUUUAUAGUAACUAUGUUAUAGUUUUAUAAUUAGGAACAGGGGGUCAAUAUUUGCAUUAUACCUGUAGCAGCACAGUGAAAAUCAUGGCAGAGUUGGAUCGCGGAAUAAGCUCAUUGCAGUCCUCAAUCUACAAGGGAUCUACGGACGAUUCCGAUCACAGCUGUGGUCAAUGCAUUGUAGACGGGCAUGAAGUAGAAGCCCAUGGAUUUUGUGCGGAUUGUCAUGAGUACCUUUGUGUCACUUGCUUCAGGGCACAUAGUAAAAACAAAGCAUCAAGGCACCAUCAGCUACUAGGUAGUGGAGACUUAUCAAAUGUCAGAAUAGCCCAUGUUUCCUCUGAAUUAUGCACAGAAAAAUGUUCCGUACACAUAAAUGAAAUAAUAAAGUUUUUCUGCUUAAAACACGAAGAACUGUGCUGCAAUGACUGUGUGAUUCUUAAUCACCGAAACUGUGAGAUAGAUUAUAUUCCUGAAACAUGUUCUUCGAUAGAGGAAUCUGCAGAAUUUCGGGAAACAUUACAAGAACUGGAUAUAAAGCAGAAAACAUCAGAAAACGUAAAACAGGCCGCACAGAAAUUAGAAGGACAGAUAGACUCAUUUACAGAAACUGUUAUAAAAGACAUUCGUAUGUUUGAGGAAGAGUUACAUGACCACAUAGUAAAACUUCGAAAAAAAAUUGAAAACGAAGUGGAAACAAGACGGUCAGCAAAUAAACAAACAAUGAAGAGUGUCGUUGAUACGUGCGAUAAAAUGGCAUCAAACAUGUAUCAACUUCGGAAGGGAAUGCUUGACAGCCAAAAGGAGCGUAAUCUUGCACAACUUUAUAUUGCAAUAAAGAGGUCCAAAAAUGCUUUGAAGUCUGAGAAACUAAACGAAACUAUGAAAAUGUUAAGCGAUACAAGAACACGAUUUCAGUUCGAACGAAGUGUCGAUAUAGAGACAUUUCAAGAGAAGGCGGUAUGUUUAGGAGACCUUAAAGACACCAGAUGGAGAGAUGCUGUCAUUCACAUGAGUAAAGAUAUAAAGACGCGUCUAUAUUAUACGGUUUUAUAUGUUGGCUCAUCCCAUAUGUCAUUCGGAGUUUCGUCUGUGUCACAUCCAAACCGCGUGGCAUCGAAGACAUGGUGGUGUGAUGAAGGAAACGGUUCAAACAAAGUACCUACAAGUUUGCUUAUUAAUCCUGACGGAAAAUCAGUGUGUGCAUUCGGGUAUGAGGCAGAUCAGAAAUACAACGAGCUUAUUGAGGAUGAAAGAGAAGAAAAUUAUUUCUACUUCCGCGGGGACUAUGUUUUGAGUAUGUACCGAGACAUGGAGGGAAAGAGAACAUUUGCCCUUGACGUGUCUGGAAAAAAGCUGCAGAGUAUAGUAGUAUUGUCUACUUUGAUUAGGAUUUUGAAAGAUGAAGCAUUAAGAUUGGUCGAACAAAAUAUACAAUAUUGUGACGGCGAUGUGCGCUUUGUAAUCACAGUUCCAGAGAGAUUUGAAACUGCGAGAGAUGCUAUGGACAAAGCAGUCUUACAGGCUGGGAUUGAUUCUAAAGACUACACCAUUGCCUUCGAAACGGAAGCAGCUUUCAUGUACAUUCAGGACUCUGCGAACUACUUCGAAUAUCCAGAUAGCCCAGUUAAACAGUUUCAAAAAGGAUCCAGAUAUCUCGUACUCGAUGCUAGAGCCAAAAUGUUCACAACUACGGUUUAUGAAGUGUGCGAGGACAAUUCAAUUCAGUUGUAUCAUGAGGUAGUUGAAUCGUGCGGUGGUGACAGCGUUAGGGAGGAAGUAGAGAAAUUCAUGUCAAGCGUUUUUGCAUGGACAUAAGAACGAGGUAUGCCGUCCUACAACCUUCACAGAUAAGCAGAGAGCUAGGUGAACACAGACAUGAUCUUAUGCAGAUAUUUAUGACUACAUACCCAGAAGAUUAUCGUGACAUGAUGUCUUCCAUCCACGGAAAAGUUUCACUGGUUCAGACUCAAAAGAAUCAC
rnacentral:misc_RNA from 1 species